rnacentral:rRNA from 1 species
GAUGAACGCUAGCGGCAGGCUUAAUACAUGCAAGUCGAGGGGCAGCAUGACUGUAGCAAUACAGUUGAUGGCGACCGGCAAACGGGUGCGGAACACGUACAGAACCUUCCUUCGAGCGGGGAAUAGCCCGGAGAAAUUUGGAUUAAUACCCCAUAGUACAGCGGAGUGGCAUCACUCUGUUAUUAAAGAUUUAUCACUUGAAGAUGGCUGUGCGGCUGAUUAGGUAGUUGGCGGGGUAACGGCCCACCAAGCCCGCGAUCAGUAACUGGUGUGAGAGCACGACCAUUCAAACGGGAACUGAGACACGGGCCCGACUACGACGGGAGGCAGCAGUAAGGAAUAUUGGGCAAUGGACGAAAGUCUGAACCAGCCAUGCCGCGUGGAGGAUGAAGGUCCUCUGGAUUGUAAACUUCUUUUAUAUGGGACGAAAAAAGGCUUGUCUAAGUCGUCUGACGGUACCAUAUGAAUAAGCACCGGCUAACUCCGUGCCAGCAGCCGCGGUAACAC